CUGUCAGAAAGUGACCCGCAGAUGGGAAGAGCAGGACAAGGUCCUCCCUAUCAGGAACAAUGGUUUCAGCUCUCCUAGGAAAACACCGUGCAUUCCUGGCUCUGGAAAACUGCAUGCCAAAUUUUCUGACCAACUGCUUGUGGGUUGAGAGUUCUCCUUUGGGAGAACCCCAAAGUCAGCCAGACGCCUGACUGCCAGUCCCAGGGUGUGGGCUUUGGUCUGCCUGAGCUGACUGCAAGUGACCCAGAUGCGUUGAAGGUGGAACCAUUUCCCUUUUACCUGGAACAACCAAGUGCCUUCCAGGAUGGGGGUGUUUCCCCC